CAGUUUCGCAGGGACGAACCUCCUCCCUCGUCCCAGCGAUCAGGCGGCUAGCGAACCUCCUCCCUCGCGACGUCGCCACCUCUGAGAAGCGCCCGCCGAUCUCCUCCCCGGCGGGCGCUUUUC
rnacentral:sRNA from 1 species